rnacentral:rRNA from 1 species
UGAUGCUUCUGGUGUUGCUUGGCAUGGAAUAGAUAUAUUUGAGAAAACCCAAAAGCGAAAUUAACGUGACUGUACGUAUGUACAUGGGAUUACAUUUAUUUAUUAUAUGUUGAUUUAUAUAAAUGAAUUUCCAUCCCAGGGCGAUUUAUAAUUAAUUUCGAUUAUGAAAUCGUACCUUGAGCAUACAUGGUAGGACCCGAAAGAUGGUGAACUAUGCCUGAUCAGGUUGAAGUCAGGGGAAACCCUGAUGGAGGACCGAAGCAGUUCUGACGUGCAAAUCGAUUGUCAGAAUUGGGUAUAGGGGCGAAAGACCAAUCGAACCAUCUAGUAGCUGGNUCCUUCCGA